rnacentral:lncRNA from 1 species
CUGGUUUGAUCUCCUUGCAGUCCAGAGUUCUGUCCAGUCUUCUCCAGCUCACCACCCUACUUUAGGAACUCAUAACCUGAUGAUAGACGCAGUUACAGUAACAAAGAAGCUUGCAAAGGAAACAGUGGAAAGGGGCAAGUUCCAGGAAAGUGACCCACAAGAACUGGAUCAAUCGAUUCCUUGUUGGAGCUUCUUGUUGGAGAUUAAAGGAUAAAACAGAGGGAGGCCCAGUUGUUAGUUCUCACAGCUCCCGUCCAGCUUUGUUGCCGCAGGCCAUAGCUCCUAGCCGGAGGCUGUUCAUGCCAUUGUCCUUUUGGAGUUCCUAUGACUGUGGUGUCCCCUGGUCCCUUCAGGGCUGGAAAUUGGAAUCACUGCCUGUUGGUAGAACUCCUAGCCACUGA